GGUCCGAUGGUGGAACUGGUAUACACGUGACACUUAAAAUGUCAUGCUCAAAAGGCAUGUGGGUUCGAUUCCCACUCGGACCA
rnacentral:tRNA from 1 species